CCCAGACUCCUACGGGAGGCAGCAGUGGGGAAUAUUGCACAAUGGGGGAAACCCUGAUGCAGCGACGCCGCGUGAGUGAAGAAGUAUUUCGGUAUGUAAAGCUCUAUCAGCAGGGAAGAUAAUGACGGUACCUGAGUAAGAAGCCCCGGCUAACUACGUGCCAGCAGCCGCGGUAAUACGUAGGGGGCAAGCGUUAUCCGGAUUUACUGGGUGUAAAGGGAGCGUAGACGGCAUGGCAAGUCUGAAGUGAAAGCCCGGGGCUCAACCGCGGGACUGCUUUGGAAACUGUUAAGCUGGAGUGCAGGAGAGGUAAGUGGAAUUCCUAGUGUAGCGGUGAAAUGCGUAGAUAUUAGGAGGAACACCAGUGGCGGAGGCGGCGUACUGGACUGUAACUGACGUUGAGGCUCGAAAGCGUGGGGAGCAAACAGGAUUAGAUACCCCGGUAGUU
rnacentral:rRNA from 1 species